AUGCGCCUUUUAUUGCGCUUCUUUCCAAAACCAACACUAAACGUAAGAAUUCAUUUUUGUAACACAAUUGACACAAUCGAGUAUUAUUUGUUUAGUUGCACAUGAAUAUUAGCCAAAUUAGUAUUAUAAUUUUAUUUCGUUUGUAUUACAAUAUAUAGAAUAUAAAUUGAAUACACAAAUAUUGCGAAAUGUAUAUGCCGAUAGAACGCACGACCGCUCAUAACAAGAACUAAAAACGGAAUGAGAGAAGACUCCACACACUCAACACAAACAAAAACCACAAAAAUCGGAGAUCGUCUCAAGUUUAAACAAAUUGGCCUUUCAGCGUUCGCUGUUCAUUUUCCGCUUUUCAUUUAACUGAUCAUUUUAAAUGUUCAAUUGUAAUUAAUAACAAAAGGAGCUCUUCAUUCAAUGUUAUUCACUACGAGAUACCCCACAAUUAUAUAUUUUCCCGCUAAGAUAGGAAAAUAUAAGUAAAUAUGUCUAUGUACAAUUAAUCAGAAAUCAAUCGAUGCUUGAUGACCGCUUCUUGAUUAGUUGCUUUAUUUAUUUGGCAUUCAAAUUUAAAUUUAUAGCUACUAUAAUGUAGUAAAAUGAAAAACUAAGGGGGGAAUCUUAAAAAUCCGGGUUUUAAAUAUGUCUGGUUUUCUGCUCAAGUUAAGUUAUAGGGUAAAAUCAUUUUGUUCCUAAAUGCUUCAAUAUACCCAUUUUAUGUUGGCCAUUUUUAAUGGGUAUUAAGGUAUAAACAACUGAGAAGCUCUCUGCGGGAAGCUAUUCAACACAUGCAAUUCAUUUAUCAAAGCUCAAAGACGUAAUACACCUGCACUUACCAUUGCUUAAAUCUGCAUCCAUAUCCUCAUCCUGUCGAGCACGUUUUUCAUCUGAAUCGAAGGAAUUUAAAUAAGAAGAGUGUGCUGGGGAUACCAAGAGGAAAAAGAGUGUAGAUGUGUCAUUUAUGUGCUGGAAGUUCAAGAAGUAAUAGAGAGUGCGAGUGCUGGAUGUGUCAUUUAUGUAUUUGUUAGUUCAUUUUAUACAGUAUGUAUGUAUAUACAUUCACAUGCAGAUAUAUAGAGUGUGUAAAUAAAGGUCAUAUAAGUACAGAUAUUCCCCGCGAAACGCAUUAGAUAAACAUUUUUUCCCCGUUUUUUAUGCCCGCUGCACUCAUAAAACGGGUAAACAAGAGACUGCAUUCGGUUUGUAUUAUUAUUUCGAGAUAGCGAAGAGCCCAUACUCUUUUGCAGAAAUUCUAAGGAAAUAUUGAGAGCUUAUCAUGAUUUUGAAAAAACUUGAUAAUUAAAUUCUGAAUAAACUCAUGCCACGGACAAACAAAAUGGUAAUCUAGAAAGUUUGCCAAUUUAAUGGCCCCCAUUUCAAGGCUGCAAGUGAUCAAUAAACAGUUAAAUGAAUAUACAAUAAGAUGUAACUGGAUGAUCCAUAAAAUCCACAAAAACAAAACACAACUUCUACAAAUAAACAAAGAUGAAUAAAUGAUGAUAAUUUCAGCAAUAAUAGCAUUUACCAGUGGAUAAAAGAAAGGCAAAAGAACUACAGGUAAAAAGUGGAUAGAUGAGUGUUGUACUGAAUCAGCAUGUGUUAAGCAAUGUGUGUUAGUCUAUCAAUUAUGGUAAUUUGAUUCUUUUAGUAUGUUAUGGACAAAGGAGUGAGAGAGAACUUUGAUUACUUACUGCAGU